UUUGGUGGGGCCUUUGUAUCUCACUCCCGCCACAGCUUGGGAUCGGUCUCUGCUGUUUUACGUCCUCCACCUCGGGAGCCCCCGGUGACUGUCACAGCCUCUUGCCCUGUGAUCUGCAGGUUCUGGGAGACGCACAGCUAAGAUGCCAGGACAUCCUGGAAGCUGGGAAAAGAUGGAGUUUCACUCUUGUUGCCCAGGCUGGAGUGCAUUAUCCCAAUCUCGGCUUACUACAACCUCCGCCUCCCAGGUUCAAGUGAUUCUCCUACCUCAGCCUCCUGAGUAGCUGGGAUUACAAGCACCUGCCACCACACCCGGCUAAUUUUUUGUAUUUUUAGUAGAGAUGGGGUUUCAUCAUGUUGGCCAGGCUGGUCUCGAACUCCUGACCUCAGGCGAUCCACCCACUUCCCAAAGUGCAGGGAUUACAGGUGUGAGCCACCACGCCCGGCCUCUCAACCUAUCAACCUAAUUUUUAUUCUUAGUAGACACGUUGGUGGUGAGCCAAUCAGAUGUUGUUAUUGAUGAGAAAAAGCAGAAAUGAUUUCUGUUGAUUCUUGAAAUAAAAUUUUUUCCAAAGGACAA
ensembl:lncRNA novel transcript